AGAUUGAACGCUGGCGGCAUGCUUUACACAUGCAAGUCGAGCGGCAGCGCGGGGGCAACCCUGGCGCGAGCGGCGAACGGGUGAGGAAUACAUCGGAACGUACCCCGGAGUGGGGGAUAACGCCGCGAAAGCGGCGCUAAUACCGCAUAUGCUCUGAGGAGGAAAGUGGGGGACCAGCAAUGGCCUCACGCUCUGGGAGCGGCCGAUGUCCGAUUAGCUAGUUGGUGGGGUAAUGGCCCACCAAGGCGACGACCGGUAGCUGGUCUGAGAGGAUGAUCAGCCACACUGGGACUGAGACACGGCCCAGACUCCUACGGGA
rnacentral:rRNA from 1 species